rnacentral:rRNA from 1 species
UGGGUGCCGCAGCUAACGCAAUAAACACUCCGCCUGGGGAGUACGCACGCAAGUGUGAAACUCAAAGGAAUUGACGGGGACCCGCACAAGCAGCGGAGCAUGUGGUUUAAUUCGACGCAACGCGAAGAACCUUACCAAGUCUUGACAUAUUACGGCGGGGUCUAGAGAUAGACUCUUACUUCUUCGGAAGACUGUAAUACAGGUGGUGCAUGGUUGUCGUCAGCUCGUGUCGUGAGAUGUUGGGUUAAGUCCCAUAACGAGCGCAACCCCUAUUGUUAGUUACCAUCAUUAAGUUGGGGACUCUAGCAAUACUGCCGGUGACAAACCGGAGGAAGGUGGGGAUGACGUCAAAUCAUCAUGCCCUUUAUGACUUGGGCUACACACGUGCUACAAUGGCAGGUACAGAGGGAAGCAAAACUGUGAAGUCAAGCGAAACUCAAAAAGCCUGUCCCAGUUCGGAUUGCACUCUGCAACUCGAGUGCAUGAAGUUGGAGUUGCUAGUAAUCGCAGAUCAGAAUGCUGCGGUGAAUGCGUUCCCGGGUCUUGUACACACCGCCCGUCACACCAUGGAAGUUGGCAAUACCCGAAGCCUGUGAGCUAACCUUUGGGAGCAGCAGUCGAAGGUAGGGUCAGUAACUGG